rnacentral:tRNA from 1 species
GCCGGGAUGACGGAAUUGGCAGACGUAGGAGACUUAAAAUCUCUGGAUCGUAAGAUCGUGCGGGUUCAAAUCCCGCUCUCGGCA